UUUUUAUUUAUAAAAGAAAAAAAGAAAAAAGAUGAGUCAUGUAAUUUGUCUACAAAUGAAUUUUUGUUUUGUGUACAUGGCUACAUUUGAAUUUUGUGACCUAUCCACUUAUCCACUAGGAAAGCAAUCUAUCCACAGGAAAGCGAUCAUAUAAAACCAGUAAAAUAUGGAUAGAGGGUUUUACAAGUUAUAGCAUGUGCGGUCCGGCCAAAACUUGACACCUGUCAACUUAUGUUAAUAUAUACAUAUAUAUAUUUAAGUUAUUACUUAUCUCCUUGUGUUUUGUGCCCUGUGUUCUUCUCUUUAACUCACAACCUGGAACCAUGUCUGUGGGUAGUUUUCCUUAUUCAUUUUGUUAUUUUUUGUAAUUGUUUCUCGACAUCUUCAUUUUUUCAAAUAUUUUAUGAAACUCUAUUCUUAUCUUCAUCUCCUUACUCAUCCUCCAAUAAGCAGCGAUAUAUAUAUAUAUAUAUAUUCGGAUCGGCAAAUCAGAAGAAUAUAAAAAUAAACUGUUCUCCUUGGAACUGCACAGAGAGUGAGGUGUCCAUCAAUGUGAAGGGUGAACAUGGUCCUAUAAGUUGCACUUUUUGUUUCAUCAGCCAUUUUGAAGCGGAAAAAACGAAGAAGGGCGGUUGAUAAUAUCUUCAUCUGCCGGUAGGCAAAGUCCUUUCCAAGACAUAUUCGAGGGCCGGCCUGCAAGUCAUUUCACAAGUGAAAAGUUUUAAGUGCUAAUUAAAAGCAUACUGGAUCAGCGUAAACAGUAAUGAAGAAAAAAAACUAAGAUGAUGCAGACAUGAAAUGCUACGAAUUUGAAUGGCGAUUCGGGUUGAAAAA